CGCGUAGGCGGCCAACUAAGUCAGACGUGAAAUCCCCUGGCUCAACCAGGGAACUGCGUCUGAUACUGGAUGGCUUGAAUCCGGGAGGAGGGAUGUGGAAUUCCAGGUGUAGCGGUGAAAUGCGUAGAUAUCUGGAGGAACACCGGUGGCGAAGGCGGCAUCCUGGACCGGUAUUGACGCUGAGGCGCGAAAGCCAGGGAGCAAACG
rnacentral:rRNA from 1 species